UUCAAAGCCAAGGCGGCGGGUAAAUUCCGUUAGGGGAGCCCAGGCGGUUUUUCCCGGAUUUUAUCUGGGGGUUUAAAAGGGUGCGUAAAGGGCCGGCUUUGCACAAGUUCAGAUUUUGAAAUUCUUUGGGGCUCAACCCCAUUAGCCUGCAUUUGAAAAUGGCAGAAGUUUGAGUGAAGUAGAGGCAGGCGGAAUUCCCCGUGUAGCGGUGAAAAGCGUAGAGAUGGGGAGGAACACCAGGGGCGAAGGCGGCCUGCUGGGCUUUAACUGACGCUGAGGCACGAAAGCGUGGGUAGCAAACAGGAUUAGAUACCCUGGUAGUCCACGCUGUAAACGAUGAUUACUAGGUGUGGGGGGUCUGACCCCUUCCGUGCCGGAGUUAACACAAUAAGUAAUCCACCUGGGGAGUACGGCCGCAAGGUUGAAACUCAAAGGAAUUGACGGGGGCCCGCACAAGCAGUGGAGUAUGUGGUUUAAUUCGAAGCAACGCGAAGAACCUUACCAGGUCUUGACAUCCUACUAACGAGAUAGAGAUAUGUUAGGUGCCCUUCGGGGAAAGUAGAGACAGGUGGUGCAUGGUUGUCGUCAGCUCGUGUCGUGAGAUGUUGGGUUAAGUCCCGCAACGAGCGCAACCCUUGCUAUUAGUUGCUACGCAAGAGCACUCUAAUAGGACUGCCGUUGACAAAACGGAGGAAGGUGGGGACGACGUCAAAUCAUCAUGCCCCUUAUGACCUGGGCUACACACGUACUACAAUGGACAUUAACAGAGGGAAGCAAUACAGUGAUGUGGAGCAAACCCCUAAAAAUGUUCUCAGUUCAGAUUGCAGGCUGCAACCCGCCUGUAUGAAGAUGGAAUUGCUAGUAAUCGCAGAUCAGCAUGUUGCGGUGAAUACGUUCCCGGGCCUUGUACACACCGCCCGUCACACCAUGGGAGCCGGUAAUACCCGAAGUCAGUAGUCUAACCGCAAGGAGGACGCUGCCGAAGGUAGGAUUGGCGACUGGGGUGAAAAGGUAACAAGGUAGCCGUAAGGGCGAAUUCGUCUCUCUAUCGAGGACUAG
rnacentral:rRNA from 1 species